CAACAGCGUAGACGCAGAGCAAACCGUGUGGCCUGUGUUCGUGAGGUGGUCAAGGUUGAGGCUCCAGGUUGAGACUUGUGCUGAGUUUUUCCUGGUCUUUCUCCUGCAAUACACCGUACUAAGCCAGACAGCUCGGCGGUCGUUACAGUCGGCAGUUGGCAUCAUGGAGGACCGAGGAGGGAGAGAAAGAUGGGAGAGCGAGCAGCGACUGUGCUAUCAGUAUCAGCUGAGCUAUCAGCUGAUCCCAGACCGAGCAGACAGGCAGGCGGUAGCCAUUUAGCCAGUCCCCGUAGAGAUGACCUGUGUAUCCCUGCCUUUCUCGCCGUCUCAGCUGUCAUGCAGCCUCCUGACUCGCCACACAGAGACAUCAGGUUUCAGUCAUGAAGUUCGUGGUGGAGCAUGUGAGUAAGGAUUGAGGACAGCCAGGCAGGCUGGGUGGUCUUUGCAGCCAUCCUGAUAGUAUCCACACCACUCCACUCUUCCUUAUUUCCACCAAGGGAGGCAGUGCACCUCAUCUCAUGCAAGGCCAGGGCACAGCAGGCACGUGCCCAAAGGCCAGGUCCCCGCACUCAUCUAAGAAUCUACGCGUAUAUACUCAUAUGGGGCCGUUCCCAGCAACCCAGGGACGAUGGAGAGGGGCCGAGGGUAUCGGACGAAAUGUCUGCUAAAAUCUGCUAAAAUGUCCACUUUCUGUGAUAGUCAAAACAAUAACUUGUACCUUUCGUUUGCAUUUCUGGAGAACUUAGAAUUUUCUUUAUUUACUUUCAGUAUUUAAGUUACGGAAGUCGAAAACGUAUAUUGUUUAUUAUAGAACUAAAUUUAAAGGCCUAGGAAAAUAUGUGACCUCAUUCCUCACAUGCAAGCAAUAAGUUAAAUUUAGUGGAUGGAUGAAUAAAAAAAUAGUUAACCCUAAAAAUAAUAAAUGCUCUUUUAUUAUAAAUAAUAGAAAAUGACGUUGCACAGCUGAUCGGGGGACAAGAAGACCGAGGAGGAAUGUAGCACGCUGUAUCCAGAGGAUGUGCUGCUCCAGUGACGUGGCUUUGAGGGAAGCGCCUCUCUGUAUCCUUGCCCAGCUCUUUAUGGAACACAUGAAGGUGCUCCAAGUUCCAAGAAGGGAGUGGUACACACACUGCUGCACUCCAAGCUUUUGGAGGUCCAGCAGCACACUGCUUUCAUAAAUUUGUGUGUAGAGUGCAAUACAGAGAGUGGCAAGGAUGGAGGAUGCUUCAACAUUCACAGCAUCAGUGGUUCAUGUGUGUGUGUGUGUGUGUGUGUGUGUGGAAGGUAGUGAACACAGUUUUAUCUGAAAGAUUGUCAUCAUUUACAUUAAUAGAUU